rnacentral:rRNA from 1 species
GUAACGCGUGAGUAACCUGCCUUUCAGAGGGGGAGUAACGUUCUGAAAAGAAACGCUAAUACCGCAUGAGACUACAGAGCUGCAUGGCUCAGUGGUCAAAGGAGCAAUCCGCUGAAAGAUGGACUCGCGUCCGAUUAGAUAGUAGGCGGGGUAACGGCCCACCUAGUCGACGAUCGGUAGCCGGACUGGGAGGUUGAACGGCCACAUUGGGACUGAGACACGGCCCAGACUCCUACGGGAGGCAGCAUG